AUGAACGCUGGCGGCGUGCCUAAUACAUGCAAGUCGAGCGAACAGACGAGGAGCUUGCUCCUCUGACGUUAGCGGCGGACGGGGGAGUAACACGUGGAUAACCUACCUAUAAGACUGGGAUAACUUCGGGAAACCGGAGCUAAUACCGGAUAAUAUAUUUAACCGCAUGGUUCAAUAGUGAAAGACGGGUUUUCUUUCACUUAUAGAUGGAUCCGCGCCGCAUUAGCUAGUUGGUAAGGUAACGGCUUACCAAGGCAACGAUGCGUAGCCGACCUGAGAGGGUGAUCGGCCACACUGGAACUGAGACACGGUCCAGACUCCUACGGGAGGCAGCAGUAGGGAAUCUUCCGCAAUGGGCGAAAGCCUGACGGAGCAACGCCGCGUGAGUGAUGAAGGUCUUCGGAUCGUAAAACUCUGUUAUUAGGGAAGAACAAAUGUGUAAGUAACUAUGCACGUCUUGACGGUACCUAAUCAGAAAGCCACGGCUAACUACGUG
rnacentral:rRNA from 1 species